CUGGAUCAUGGAGCCAUGAAGAUGUUGAUAGUUGGAUAUCAGGAACAGAUGAUGUCAAUCACUAAUGGUCACAGUUGACCAGGGGAAACUAAAAUCAUGGGAAACAAAACCAUGGAUAAGGCAGUACUACUGUAUACAGUUGGCCCUCCAUAGCCAUGCACUCUGCAUCAGUGGAUUCAAUCAGCCAUGGAUAAAAAAAUGUUUGAAAAGUUUAAAAGAAUGGUUGUUUCUGUACUGAACAGUUAGGCGUUCAAGCUGUGUUAAAUCACAUCCCUGAUGUUUAUGUGGUCAGGAUAUGUGCCCUUGAGUGACCACGCAGAAGUGAGUGGAACUUUCUACCAUGCUUUGUAUGCUAAGACUUCCAUCAACGAGUGAUUUUCUUGCUUUAAAUUUAAUGCUGACUCCAUUCAAGCAGAAAAUAGAUUUGAAGACAAUGAAAA
rnacentral:lncRNA from 1 species